CACACCGCCCGUCACAUCACGAAAGUUGGUUGCCCUUGAAGUCGCUGGGCUGACCCGCAAGGGGGCAGGCGCCUACGGAGUGAUUAAUGAUUGGGGUG
rnacentral:rRNA from 1 species